CAGUGUGAAAAACUCCGGUGGUGUGAGAUGGACCCGCGUCUGAUUAGCUAGUUGGCAGGGCAACGGCCUACCAAGGCGACGAUCAGUAGCCGACCUGAGAGGGUGACCGGCCACAUUGGGACUGAGACACGGCCCAAACUCCUACGGGAGGCAGCAGUGGGGAAUAUUGCACAAUGGGGGAAACCCUGAUGCAGCGACGCCGCGUGAGCGAAGAAGUAUUUCGGUAUGUAAAGCUCUAUCAGCAGGGAAGAAGAAAUGACGGUACCUGACUAAGAAGCACCGGCUAAAUACGUGCCAGCAGCCGCGGUAAUACGUAUGGUGCAAGCGUUAUCCGGAUUUACUGGGUGUAAAGGGAGCGCAGGCGGAAGGCUAAGUCUGAUGUGAAAGCCCGGGGCUCAACCCCGGUACUGCAUUGGAAACUGGUCAUCUAGAGUGUCGGAGGGGUAAGUGGAAUUCCUAGUGUAGCGGUGAAAUGCGUAGAUAUUAGGAGGAACACCAGUGGCGAAGGCGGCUUACUGGACGAUAACUGACGCUGAGGCUCGAAAGCGUGGGGAGCAAACAGGAUUAGAUACCCUGGUAGUCCACGCCGU
rnacentral:rRNA from 1 species